rnacentral:tRNA from 1 species
GAUCUGGUAGCUCAGCAGGAUAGAGCAACGGCCUUCUAAGCCGUGGGUCGGGGGUUCGAAUCCCUCCCAGAUCGCCA